rnacentral:rRNA from 1 species
UUGACGGGGAGCACCACAACGGGUGGAGCCUGCGGUUUAAUUGGACUCAACGCCGGGCAGCUCACCGGAUAAGACAGCUGGAUGAUAGCCGGGCUGAAGACUCUGCUUGACUAGCUGAGAGGAGGUGCAUGGCCGUCGUCAGUUCGUACUGUGAAGCAUCCCGUUAAGUCAGGCAACGAGCGAGACCCACGCCCACAGUUGCCAGCGUACUCUCCGGAGUGACGGGUACACUGUGGGGACCGCCGCUGCUAAAGCGGAGGAAGGAGUGGGCAACGGUAGGUCAGUAUGCCCCGAAUAUCCCGGGCUACACGCGAGCUACAAUGGUUGGUACAAUGGGUAUCUACCCCGAAAGGGGACGGGAAUCUCCUAAAACCAAUCUUAGUUCGGAUUGAAGGCUGCAACUCGCCCUCAUGAAGCUGGAAUCCGUAGUAAUCGCGUUUCAACAGAACGCGGUGAAUACGUCCCUGCUCCUU